AGAAGGGGGCUUCAGGAAGGCACAGACUGAAUGAAAGAACCUCCCAAAGGCACUGACAGGUGUGGGGUUCCCUCUUGAUCCUCGAGGCCUGAGCUUCCAGGAAGUUUUGAGUUUAAUUGAAAGAACUGCAUAUGAAUUCUAGUCGAAAAGCUGGAAGCUCGGCCCGGUGUCUGUUCUCCCCUCUCUCUGCGGUUGUGUUCAUUUCCUCAGAUUUCCUAUCUGAACAGAGUCUGGAGCUGCUGGGACCAACUGGAGUUUGGGAAACCGAGCGCGUAAAAGAGGGAAUACAGGACUCAGAUCACCUCUUGAAAUGGUCUGCAGGUAGCCACAGGCGCUCUGCCCAGGGACCUGCAGCAGCACGGUCUUAUAGAAAGGGCCUGGACUCGGAAGCCACACAAAGGUGGGUUCUAAUCCCAGCUCUGCCAUUUAAUAACAGGGUGAAGUUGAGCAAGUUAUUCAACUCUCUGAGGCUCAGUUUCCUCAUCUGUAAAAUGGGCAUAAUUUAUCCUAUUGGGUUUCUAUGAGGAUUUGAUAAGAUAAAGGACCUAGGACAGUGAGCAGGUUGACCCUUUGUAAAUGGCAGCUCUGCUUAAGAGUGAAGAGCAGGCUGGAGUAGACACAUCACACAAACGCCACCCUCCCACCUCACAGUGAUAGCAUCUGACCAACAGCAUCAGGCAAAUGCUAUCGGAAAAGUCCUGCAAAGAUGGCACCUCCACUUCCUCAUUUGUAACCUGCUCUCAUGUUUCACAAUCUGUUUGUGAGGAAAUUGUUCUUAAUAUCUAACCUCAGUUCCUCCUGCUACAAUGUGUCAUAUCACACUCUUUUUAAAUAACACACAAAUAGACCCAUGAAAAUGAGCAGAUUUUUCUAUGAGUCACAGGCAUUCAUGGGCCUUAAGUUUACUCUUAUCUUCAAGAAACCAGGGAGUAUUUGUAGUGUGACCCCUGAGCUAUGCUGGGACGCUCCAGAGAGCUGUGACAAGACUCUCUUGAGACUCGUCUCAUUUGGAAUAGUGGUCUCAGUGUCUUUCCCUCUCUUAUUUUUUUCAGUUGCAAGUGAAUGACUGAUGCUAAUUUAUAAAGCCUGGGAACACAGCAAAGGAGUUCAGGAGAACUGAUCACAUUGGUGGCUAAUCACUGAUAUGCAGCUUGGCCGUGGCAAGGAUUGAAAUGAAAAUUGUGUGUCAGUCUUUGACAUUGAAACGGAUGACAGUAAUCAGCCCCAUGCAACAGAUCAUUUCAUUCAACUACGCAGACGCAUUUUGCAGCUAAUCCUUCUUGCGAGACUAUUACUAUGAAUCACACCUUUUUAGCUGUGUGGUCCAGAAUCUAAGUGUCUCAGAAGGUCCUGUGAGAGGGAAAGGUUUGCGCUGCCUGGCGGCACAGGGCAGACAUCUCGACUCUCACAUAUGCCCACUCUGUGGACUUGCUUUAAGCCUAUGGGCCGAGAUUGCAAACUGGCAGCCGGUGGACCGCACACAGCCUGUGGAUGUGUUCUAUUUGGCUCCACACUGUUUUGCUUUUAUUUUAUUUUUUGUUGAGGAAUAUUAACCCUGAGCUAACUGCUGCCAAUCCUCCUCUUUUUGCUGAGGAAGACUGGCCCUCAGCUAACAUUCAUGCCCAUCUUCUUCUACUUGACAUGUGGGACGCCUACCACAGCAUGGUUUGUCUAGCGGUGCCAUGUCCGCACCUGGGAUCCGAACUGGCGAACCCGGGCUGCCAAAGCGGAAGGUGCGUUCUUAACCGCUACGCCACCGGGCGGCCCCUGCUUUUAUUUUUUUUAAGUUGAAUUGGUUGCCCUAAUCUAAAGCUUCACAUGACCCAAGUUUCUGGCUUGUCUUGAAAAAGGGAAGAGCUGGCAACACUGACGCUGCGGUAACAUCAUGUGGGGCUGAGCGGAGAUGCUCGCUGGAGAUGGGACCACCGUUACCUACUGUCUCCCUCCCACUCAGUUCCAUUCACGUAUGGAAACUGCCUGGGCCCUGAAGGCGUUUGAGCUGGGGACUCUUGGCCUGUGAAGUCCCCUUUUGUCACUGGAAGAGAGCACAGCUGCUAGCGUUCUGUUCCUUUGGGCUCUCUAACCUCUCUUCCUCCACCAGCAAUGAUACCAGCAGGAAUCAGUGUUUGUGAUUCCUUCGGAUAUGUCUUCCCUGAGUUUAUAUUUAAUGCCACAGUUGAAGACAUGUGUCAUGUGACCAGUAGGUUCUCAUAUGAGGAUGAAGGGGAGGAAUCUGUCUUUGAAAUUUGCCUCUCUGCACCGUUUCUGGGUUCUUUGAAGUCCAGCGGCUUCUGUGUGUAUAGAGGAACACUCUCUGCGACCUCCAGUAUAACUGAUGCUCAAUUUCUCAAAUUUAUUUAUCUAAUAAAACUUAGAAAAUUAAAAUUUCUUAAACUACA
rnacentral:lncRNA from 1 species